AUGGAAGAUGGCAAUGGGGUUGAAGGAGGUGAGAUGAUGUGGCUUACUCGGGUCCUUGGUGAUGAGCAUGGCGGUGCCGCCGAAGUCGCAGGUGGCGCCGGUGGACUUGGCGCGCUGCCAGUAGCUGUUGAAGGCGUAAGAGGCGUGGGACGUCAUGGUGUCCGGCUUGAAGCAGGCGCCGUCCGCCUGGAGGGACUCGCAGUCGGCGCCCGACGCGCACGCGUAGUCCAUGGCCUGCUGCACGAUCGCCGCCGGCACCGACGGCUUCGCCACGCACCACUCGGCGUGCCCCGCCGACGGCGACGGCGGCCCGGUCGUCGGCGGGAGCACCACCGGCGGCUGGAAGCUGCCCCCCGGCGGGCUCGGGGAGGACCCCGAUCCCGACCCCGACCCCGGCGAGGACUCCGGCGGCGGGUACGGCGCGUAGUCCGGCGGGCUGGGGGUCACCUCCGGCGGGCUCGGGAACGGCGUGACCUCCGGCGGGCUGGGCGCCACGUACGGUGUCCCUGGGAACGGCGUGACCUCGGGUGGGCUGGGAGUCACCUCCGGUGGCCCCGGGGACGGCUCGACUUCCGGCGGGCUGGGCUCGACCUCCGGUGGCCCCGGGAAUGGCGUCACGUCCGGUGGGCUGGGCGUGACCUCUGGUGGCCCUGGGAACGGCGCGACCUCCGGCGGGCUGGGCGUGACCUCGGGUGGUCCCGGGAACGGUGCGACCUCCGGUGGACUGGGCGCAACCUCCGGUGGACUCGGGUACACUAUCGGGGGCAGCGGCGUCACCUCCGGAGGGCUCGGGAACGGCUCGAUGUCCGGCGGGCUGGGCGCGACGACCGGCGGCAGUGGUGCUAUCUCGGGCGGACUGGGCGCGACCACCGGCGGCAUUGGCGCGAUCUCCGGCGGGCUGGGCGCGACCACCGGCGGCAGUGGCGCUAUCUCAGGCGGGCUAGGCGCGACGACCGGCGGCAGUGGCGCGAUCUCCGGCGGGCUGGGCGCGACCUCCGGCGGGCUCGGCGUGACCUCAGGCGGGCUGGGCGUGACCUCCGGCGGCGGAGGGGAGUAGAACUGCAUGGGCGGCGGGGGCGACAGGUAGGCGAAGGAGGGCGCCGGGAUGACGGGCGGCGGCGACGCUUCCGGCUCCGGGGCGCAGCCGGGGGAGCCCGGAGGCGGGGAGGCCGAGUGGUGGUCGGACUCGGAGUACUGGUCCAGCAGCUCGUCCACCGUCAGCACCCUCGCUCCUGCUUGUGCACCCAACAAAACCAUCAAUAA
rnacentral:rRNA from 1 species